CCCUUAGAUGUUCUGGGCCGCACGCGCGCUACACUGAUGCAUUCAACAAGUUCACCUUGGCCGAGAGGCUUGGGCAAUCUUUUGAACAUGCAUCGUGAUAGGGAUAGAUUAUUGCAAUUAUUAAUCUUGAACGAGGAAUUCCUAGUAAACGUAGAUCAUCAAUCUGCAUUGAUUACGUCCCUGCCCUUUGUACACACCGCCCGUCGCACCUACCGAUUGAAUGGUCCGGUGAAGCCUCGAGAUUGUGGCCAGCUCGCUUUAUUGGGAGUUGGUUGCGAGAACUUGUCUAAACCUUAUCAUUUAGAGGAAGGUGAAGUCGUAACA
rnacentral:rRNA from 1 species